rnacentral:rRNA from 1 species
GAUGAACGCUAGCGAUAGGCUUAACACAUGCAAGUCGAGGGGCAGCAUGGUCUUAGCUUGCUAAGACUGAUGGCGACCGGCGCACGGGUGGGGAACGCGUAUGCAACUUGCCUCACAGAUGGGGAUAACCCGUCGAAAUACGGACUAAUACCGCGUACACUCCAUCUUGGGCGUCCAAGGUAGAGGAAAUGAAAGUCGCUGUGGGAUAGGCAUGCGUCCCAUUAGCUAGUUGGUGAGGUAACGGCGCACGAAGGCGACGAUGGGCAGGGGAACUGAGAGGAGGAACCCCCACAGGGUGACUGGGACACGGGGCAGAGUGCUACGGGAGGCAGCAGUGAGGAAUAUUGGACAGUGGGAGAGAGCCUGAACCAGCCAAGUCGCGUGAAGCAUGACUGUCUUAUGGAUGGUAACCUUCUGUUAGAAGGGCACAACAAGAGGCACGGGUGCCUCACUGACGGUACCGUAUGAAUAAGCAUCGGCUAACUCCGUG